CAGAAAAUAGUUUAAUUAUAAAAUAUUAAUUUUGGAGAUUAAUGAUAAGAAUAUUUCUUUUUUCUGA
rnacentral:tRNA from 1 species